GACGAACGCUGGCGGCGUGCUUAACACAUGCAAGUCGAACGGAAAGGCCCAGCUUGCUGGGUGCUCGAGUGGCGAACGGGUGAGUAACACGUGGGUGAUCUGCCUCUAACUUCGGGAUAAGCUUGGGAAACUGGGUCUAAUACCGGAUAGGACAAUCGUUUAGUGUCGGUUGUGGAAAGUUUUUUCGGUUAGGGAUGAGCCCGCGGCCUAUCAGCUUGUUGGUGGGGUAAUGGCCUACCAAGGCGUCGACGGGUAGCCGGCCUGAGAGGGUGGACGGCCACAUUGGGCCUGAGAUACGGCCCAGACUCCUGCGGGAGGCAGCAGUGGGGAAUAUUGCACAAUGGGCGCAAGCCUGAUGCAGCGACGCCGCGUGGGGGAUGACGGCCUUCGGGUUGUAAACCUCUUUCGACAGGGACGAAGCUUUGGUGACGGUACCUGUAUAAGAAGCACCGGCUAACUACGUG
rnacentral:rRNA from 1 species